GACGAACGCUGGCGGCGUGCCUAAUACAUGCAAGUCGAACGCUGAAGGAGGAGCUUGCUUCUCUGGAUGAGUUGCGAACGGGUGAGUAACGCGUAGGUAACCUGCCUGGUAGCGGGGGAUAACUAUUGGAAACGAUAGCUAAUACCGCAUAAGAGUAGAUGUUGCAUGACAUUUGCUUAAAAGGUGCAAUUGCAUCACUACCAGAUGGACCUGCGUUGUAUUAGCUAGUUGGUGGGGUAACGGCUUACCAAGGCGACGAUACAUAGCCGACCUGAGAGGGUGAUCGGCCACACUGGGACUGAGACACGGCCCAGACUCCUACGGGAGGCAGCAGUAGGGAAUCUUCGGCAAUGGACGGAAGUCUGACCGAGCAACGCCGCGUGAGUGAAGAAGGGUGUCGGAUCGUAAAGCUCUGUUGUAAGAGAAGAACGAGUGUGAGAGUGGAAAGUUCACACUGUGACGGUAUCUUACCAGAAAGGGACGGCUAACUACGUG
rnacentral:rRNA from 1 species